rnacentral:rRNA from 1 species
AUUGAACGCUGGCGGCAGGCCUAACACAUGCAAGUCGAGCGAGCGGCGGACGGGUGAGUAAUGUCUGGGAAACUGCCUGAUGGAGGGGGAUAACUACUGGAAACGGUAGCUAAUACCGCAUACCAUCAGAUGUGCCCAGAUGGGAUUAGCUAGUAGGUGGGGUAACGGCUCACCUAGGCGAAGAUCCGUAGCUGUUAUGAGAGGAUGACCCACCACACUGAAACUGAGACACUGUCCAGACUCCUACGGGAGGCAGCAGUUGGGAAUAUUGCCCAAGGGGCGCAAGCCUGAUGCAGCCAGGCCGCGUGUGUGAAGAAGGCCUUCGGGUUGUAAAGCACUUUCAGCGGGGAGGCGUUACCCGCAGAAGAAGCACCGGCUAACUCCGUGCCAGCCGCCGCGGUAAUUC